ACGAACGCUGGCGGCAUGCCUAACACAUGCAAGUCGAACGAGACCUUCGGGUCUAGUGGCGCACGGGUGCGUAACGCGUGGGAACCUGCCCUUAGGUUCGGAAUAACUCCCCGAAAGGGGUGCUAAUACCGGAUAAUGUCUUCGGACCAAAGAUUUAUCGCCUUUGGAUGGGCCCGCGUUGGAUUAGCUAGUUGGUAGGGUAAAAGCCUACCAAGGCGACGAUCCAUAGCUGGUCUGAGAGGAUGAUCAGCCACACUGGGACUGAGACACGGCCCAGACUCCUACGGGGGGCAGCAGUGGGGAAUAUUGGACAAUGGGCGAAAGCCUGAUCCAGCAAUGCCGCGUGAGUGAUGAAGGCCUUAGGGUUGUAAAGCUCUUUUACCCGGGAUGAUAAUGACAGUACCGGGAGAAUAAGCUCCGGCUAACUCCGUG
rnacentral:rRNA from 1 species